rnacentral:rRNA from 1 species
GACGAACGCUGGCGGCGUGCCUAAUACAUGCAAGUAGAACGCUGAAGGAGGAGCUUGCUCUUCUGGAUGAGUUGCGAACGGGUGAGUAACGCGUAGGUAACCUGCCUGGUAGCGGGGGAUAACUAUUGGAAACGAUAGCUAAUACCGCAUAACAGUAGAUGUUGCAUGACAUUUACUUAAAAGGUGCAAUUGCAUCACUACCAGAUGGACCUGCGUUGUAUUAGCUAGUUGGUGGGGUAACGGCUCACCAAGGCGACGAUACAUAGCCGACCUGAGAGGGUGGUCGGCCACACUGGGACUGAGACACGGCCCAGACUCCUACGGGAGGCAGCAGUAGGGAAUCUUCGGCAAUGGACGGAAGGCUGACCGAGCAACGCCGCGGGAGUGAAGAAGGUUUUCGGAUCGUAAAGCUCUGUUGUAAGAGAAGAACGAGUGUGAGAGUGGAAAGUUCACACUGUGACGGUAUCUUACCAGAAAGGGACGGCUAACUACGUG